GAAAUGCGAUAAGUAAUGUGAAUUGCAGAUACAGUGAAUCAUCGAAUCUUUGAACGCAAAUGGCACUCUAUGGUAUUCCGUAGAGUACGUCUGUUUGAGCGUCGCGAACAUCUCCAUAAUUAGUUUUUUUUUAAAUUGAUUGUGGGUUUUGAGGUUGUCAUAUAACAAUGACUCCCUUUAAAAUAAUUAGUGAUGACCUUAUGAAUGGGUUAAUACUGUGUGUUAUAAUGGAUUACAUCCAUCACCAGUCAGAGAGUAAUCUCGCCUUAGUAAUUUGUAGUGAUUGCUUCUAACUGCCAUUGGCAAAUAAACUGAUCAAAUCGACCUCAAAUCAGAUGGGAUUACCCGCUGAACUUAA
rnacentral:rRNA from 1 species